rnacentral:rRNA from 1 species
AGAUUGAACGCUGGCGGCAGGCCUAACACAUGCAAGUCGAGCGGUAGAGAGGUGCUUGCACCUCUUGAGAGCGGCGGACGGGUGAGUAAUGCCUAGGAAUCUGCCUAGUGGUGGGGGAUAACGUUCGGAAACGGACGCUAAUACCGCAUACGUCCUACGGGAGAAAGCGGGGACCUUCGGGCCUCGCGCCAUUAGAUGAGCCUAGGUCGGAUUAGCUAGUUGGUGAGGUAAUGGCUCACCGAAGGCGACGAUCCGUAACUGGUCUGAGAGGAUGAUCAGUCACAUGGACUGAGACACGGCCCAGACCUCCGUACGGGAGCAGCAGGUGGGAAAUGUUAGGAACAAGUGGGACGAAAGCCUAGACUCCAGACAAUCGCCGCGUGAGGUGAGUAGGAAGGUCCGUUAAGGUUA